rnacentral:rRNA from 1 species
UACAGAGGGGGCAAGCGUUGUUCGGAAUUACUGGGCGUAAAGGGCGCGUAGGCGGCCUGUUAAGUCGGACGUGAAAUCCCCGGGCUCAACCCGGGAACUGCGUCCGAUACUGGCAGGCUUGAAUCCGGGAGAGGGAUGUGGAAUUCCAGGUGUAGCGGUGAAAUGCGUAGAUAUCUGGAGGAACACCGGUGGCGAAGGCGGCGUCCUGGACCGGCAUUGACGCUGAGGCGCGAAAGCCAGGGGAGCAAACGGG